UGUUUCUAAACUCAUAAACGUGUCUUUAAAUCAAGCAUCUCUAGCUCUAUUUCGUCACCUCUCUCAAAAGUUAACCACCCUUUAUCUUGCACUCUCACUGAUUCGAUAACAACCCACCGGAGUUCGAAGCUUCGUUUGAAGAACUAGCCGGAGAUCCACUCAUGUCGUUUUCGAGUUAUAGCCCACCGAACACGCGGUCACCGGAGUUACAAGGAACUCACCGGAACGCCAUAACUCCGACAUCAUCUAACCCCGACCAUUCUUCGCAACCGGGUAAUUACUUUCAUACUUUCGGGAUUUCUGAACGCUUACUCUUGCGUUAUUUUUUUCAUGGAAUCGCAAACGCAACCACUGUGAACAUGCUUGAAGAGAAGAUUGGACAUAGGAUGGGCCUUAGUUAACAAGAAACGGAUAAAUGUAUCUUAGUGAUUAUGAUCAAUGUCUCAUUUGUAAUUGUUUAUUUGAAUUAGUUGUUAUGUGAAACAUUUGUUAUGAAUAAAUUAUUA